rnacentral:rRNA from 1 species
AGCAGCCGCGGUAAUUCCAGCUCCAAUAGCGUAUAUUAAAGUUGUUGCAGUUAAAAAGCUCGUAGUUGAACUUCGGGGUUUACCCAUUGGUCAGGCUUAAUUGUCUGUACUGGUGAGAUGAAUCUCUACCUUCUGAGGAACUUUCAUGCCAUUUAUUUGGUGUGAUGGGAAACUCAGGACUGUUACUUUGAAAAAUUAGAGUGUUUAAAGCAGGCUAACGUCUGAAUACAUUAGCAUGGAAUAAUGAAAUAGGACGGACUGAUUCUAUUUCGUUGGUUUCUAGGAUCACCGUAAUGAUUAAUAGGGAUAGUUGGGGGCAUUAGUAUUCAAUUGUCAGAGGUGAAAUUCUUGGAUUUAUUGAAGACUAACUACUGCGAAAGCAUUUGCCAAGGAUGUUUUCAUUAAUCAAGAACGAAAGUUAGGGGAUCGAAGACGAUCAGAUACCGUCGU